UACGUAGGGGGCAAGCGUUGUCCGGAUUUAUUGGGCGUAAAGAGCGUGUAGGCGGCCAAGCAGGUCCGCUGUGAAAACUCGAGGCUCAACCUCGAGACGUCGGUGGAAACCGUUUGGCUAGAGUCCGUAAGAGGAGAGUGGAAUUCCCGGUGUAGCGGUGAAAUGCGCAGAUAUCGGGAAGAACACCGGUGGCGAAGGCGGCUCACUGGUCCGGUACUGACGCUGAGGUGCGAAAGCGUGGGGAGCAAACAGG
rnacentral:rRNA from 1 species